rnacentral:lncRNA from 1 species
GAAGAUACACACUACAUUAUCUACACAAGACAACACUACACACAGGGAAUUCUUCGCACAAUUUUUCUCCACCAAACACACUGCCAUAAACACCAUCACAUAUUCACACAUACACAUCUCUAUUUGUUUCAUGGAUUAGCAACAACCCAAUUCAAAGACACAACCUCACUUUCACAGUCAUAUACACACGACACAUGGGAAAAGAAAAAAGAGGGUGAAGGGCUAGAUCGAGAUUGAGGAAAGAGAAUGAUGUGAGAGAAAAAAAGAAGAGUGAUAGAGAGAGAGUGAGAAAUAGGAGAAACACACACAUACACACAGUGAAGUCGCGUGCGAGAGAGACAAACAGAGAGUUUGAUCAAAAUGGGAGUGAACGAAAUCCGGCUGACUAUUUUGAGUUUUUCGAUGAAUUAUUCACCGAAAUUACCCAAUCCUCGCCGGAUUCUAUCAUACAAACUCAAAAUUAAUUCCAUAAGAUGAAAACCAACGAAAUCAAGUAGAAAUCUAUUAGUUGCGAGCUUCAUUCUCAGUUUUUCCAGUGAAGCAUUGAUUGGAAAAUGGGUUCGGUUAUUGUCAGUUUUCACAAUUUCUAUUUUGGGUCAGCGGAAAGCAAAAGAAGUGGUGCAUACCGAAGAUGAGGUUCACAUUGAGGCUCGAUUUGAGUUUUUGGAUUGCGGGUUUGGUCACUUCAUUCGAGUAUAUUGAAUUUUGAAAGCUCCAAAUUGAGGUCCAAUUCCAUUCUCUCCUCUUUUGUUUUAUUAUUUAUUAUAUUAUGUACUUUGAAUUGAACAUCGUGUGUUGGUUGAUCCUUGUUGGUAGUGAAUAGUUGUUUGGCGUUGAUUCAUUGUUGGUUUCUUUAACUAUACAUCGUGUGAUGAAAUGAUACCUUGCUUGAAAAUUACAAUCGAUAAUUUGGGAAUAAAAUUUGGGUGAGAAUUAAAAAUCAAUAAAACUGAAUAUUGUUGUGCCUCGACUCAUCGAUUGUUGUUGGAUUUGAAAUGAAUGUUAAUAUUAUCAAAUUCGAUACUAUCAUGAUUUAGGUCGAGAAUCAAUAGGCAAAUUUUAGGUUUGGGUAGGCAAAUUAUACAAAUUAAUGAUUGUUAAGUGAUUGAAUUAUUAUGUUUGAGAUGGUUUUAUUUUAUCGUACAAAAUUGAAAUUGUAUUUAUUUAGUCGGGGAAUGCCCCGAGGUCAUUUGUACUUAUUCAGUCGGGUAUUUCCCGAAGUAUCUUGUGCGCGAAGGACGUUCGUGAUCAAGGCCUGAGGCAUCGGGUAGAGCAUAGUUUAGGACUAGUGUAGGUUAUCGUAGGUUUAUUUCAGCAAUUUUUUUAUUUUUGAAUGUAAUAAUUGGAUUGGACACUAUAUUUUUGUUUGGUGAUUUUUUUUGUGUUUUAUUGGUUUAUACAUUCCGAUAGUGUCGUACUAGACGAUACAGUUCAUGGAGUGAUCGUGGUCACACUACGAGACCGAGGGAACCUAACACCUUCCUUUCAGUCAAUAGAAUCAAAAUUUUUAUUCGUGGAUCAGUUUUAAAGAGUCAAACCAUUUUGAAAAAGAUUUCCAACGGUGACUUGGCACACAAAAUUUAUGCCAAGUGGCGACUCUGAGUUCAAAUGUAAAGAAAUUCUUUUCGAAAUAAAUUUUUAUUUUAUGUCACUUAAUAAUAAAAACCCUUUCAAACUUAAAAUCUAUUCUUUUUUUAGUUAAAACGGGGUGUGACAGUUUGGUGAGUCUACUGGGGACUAUUUUCAGAAUUCAAGCUUAUUUUUGAGUUAUAUCAGCUUAGUUUGACACUAUAGGUGUUUAGACAUUUUGUUUGUGUUAUUGUUUUAGCAUUGUUGAGUGCCUACUUUCUACGUGUGUACAAUUUUUCUCUCUUAUGUGUUACCGCUUUAUAUCUAGCAUUAUUUGCAUAACCUGAGUUAAUUUUCUUGUAAUAAGUAUCGGAGUACACGUCAUGUACACGAACUCUAGUUGAGUCACCCUUAUUUUAAGAGGGAGAGCCGUCAGAUGUAUGGAGUAGGUGGAAAGCAAAAUAACCACUAUCGACCAUAUGCUCCCCCGAUCAGCCUUGUUAGUGGACCUCAACGUAGGUCAGCCUUUAGGUCAUGCUUAUCUGCAUCAUAUUGGGACCUAGAGGGGCGCACUUAGUCCUUUGUAGGAAAUUCACCCCAAAAGCAUUCCUACGUGCUAAUUGUUAAAUCUUUGAGGGUAAUAUGGUCAUUUGAUGGACUGGUUUGAGAAAAACAUAUGUUAGAAUUAAAUCAGAGUAUGUUUAGGCAAGAACAAUUCAAAAAAAGGGAAGAAAAGGAAAAAAAACAAGGAAAGGUGGAGAAAAAAAGAGUUUCGUAGCUGUUUAGAGUUUAUGGCUUUUAUUUUCUACAUCCAAAAAAAAAUCAAUCAAAAAGAGUUUUACCUUUUGCACUCAUUUGUCAAAAACAUAAAAAACAUCAAAAAGAUUCUUUUGAUUCUUUUAGAAAGCAUUCAUAAUUCGAAAGUUUUAAUUUUUUUUAAUAGGAGUUUUUAUAAAAGAAAAUUCAAAUGGUAGAAGUUUUGUACAUUUCAUAUAACGAAAAAACCAAAAAGAUUUCUUUCAUAGUUGUUGGUGUCACUUUUAGGUGAAGUGUCAAAUUGAAAACUCAAAAAGAUUUUAUUGACAUUGUUCAUCAUCUGUCUUUGGUCGGUUCUAUCAAGUCAGGGUUUAGUCUGUUAUUUAAUCCUUAAUUGUCCAAUCUGGACGAACUACACACACCUGAUUCUCCUCUCUCGGGAGUGAGAAACGUAGACAACCCUUCUAAGGUUCGGUGAUCUAUUAAAAAAAAUUUAAAAUGAUUUUUUCACUCUUCAUUUAGAGUAGGUGUUUCAUAUAUGUUUUGAAAAGAAAAAUUCAAAAAAAACAUUUUCCUUAAUAAUCUUAGGUUUAAUUUUGUGAUGAAAUUCAAAAUUGAAAAAUCCAAAAAGAUUUUCACAGUAUCUUUUGAAAAUAAUGAUAAAAGAAAGAAAAAAAAAUUUCUUUCCAUUUUAGAUUACUUGUAUACACAUGUUGCUUUAUCUGAAAAUUACAAAAAAAAGAGGAUUUUUCUUUAAGACUUUUAGGUUUCAUUUUUGCAUGAAUUUCAAACAAAAAAAAAGACCGUGUAAAUAUCUUUUGAAAAAAAAAAAGAGAAAGAAAGAUUCAUUUGGUAAUAGAUUAGUUAAUCAAUGCAUCCUUCCAUAUGAAAAAUACAAAAAAAAAUUCUCUUGAUAAUCACAGGUUUCAUUUUGCAUAGGGAAUUUAAAUUUGAAAAAUUCAAAUAAAAUUUUGUCAAUUCUUUUGAUAAUUUGUUAUUUUUUCAUCUUGUUAAAGUUUCAAAACAAGAAAAGAAAAAGAAAGAGAGUUUUAUUGGUCCUUUUUCGAAAAAACUUCAUGAACUAUGCACACCAGGUUCUCCUCUCUCGAGGGUGAGAUACGUAGGCGCCCUUCUUGGGUUUGGUGAUAUUUUUUAAAUAAAAAGAGCUAAAGAUUUUGAGAAAGUGUUGAAUUCAGAUGCAUUUGUUAUCUCUUGUUCAGUUAGUUUAUAGUGGUUGGUUUAUGGCAUUUUGGUUGGUCCCUCAUAUCACACCAAGCUUAAGGAAGAGUUAGUCAUAUCCAACAAGGAUAUAGAGAGUGACAUCAUGAAUCAGACAAAAAGUCUGGCAAAUGAGAAUUUAAAGAAAGAGAUUGUGAGACAAAGACAACAAAUGAUGGAAAUGCACCGAGCUUGGUUCAGUGGGUUGCCUCCUGUCUCUUUCUUCAUUUUUGACCCUGCAAAUACCUUGAGUCUUCCAUCAUAAUUGUGAAGUCAAUUUUCCACUGUUGUUGAUGUACCACAACAUGCCUCAGAAUUCACUCUAAGACAAAAACAUCCCAAUAUUUCUAUCACCUAUUCUUUAGCUCUUCAAUAUAAAUUUGCCAUAUUGAUAGCACUAUCUAUCAUUUAUGAUUUUGUUGCUCAAGCCUCUACUGAGGUUUUCACAUUGGCUAUCCGCCCAAUGGUUGUGCUUCCCAAGGCCGCUAAUGAAUGCAUGUUCAAUACUCUUGAUAAUCAUUGCUAUAUUCCUGAGUCCACAUCAAUGUUAAUUGGACCACCAAAAUUUCUUAACAAGAAGGCUAGGGAUAAUUUUACACCAAUUGUGGAGUCGUAUGCCAGUUUAUUCCAGAGAUUAAGAAAGUUGGGCAUGAUCACUCCUUUUCUUGGAUAUACUCCUGAUUCACAUUUAAGAAAUUUUGAUCCUUAUGUAUGAUGUGCAUAUCAUUAUGAUGUUCAGGGCCAUCGUAUUGAAGGUUGUAGUGCUUUGAAAAGAGAAAUAAAAAUGAUGAUUCAAGAAAAAUUGAUGAUAGUGCAAAACGUUAACACUACAAAGGUCACACAUAAUCCUUCACCAACACACAAUAAUGCACAAUAUAUGGGAAGCAAUGAGUCAAGCAU